rnacentral:rRNA from 1 species
AACGUAGGACGCAAGCGUUAUCCGGAGUUACUGGGCGUAAAGCGCGGGCAGGCGGCUCGAAACGUCUGAUGUGAAAUCUCCUCGCUCAACGGGGAGAGGCCAUUGGAAACGGUCGAGCUGGAGGGCAGUAGAGGUAGGCGGAAUUCCGGGUGGAGUGGUGAAAUGCGUAGAGAUCCGGAGGAACACCAGAGGCGAAGGCGGGCCUACUGGGGCGUGCACCUGCGCUGAGCCGCGAAAGCCAGGGGAGCGAA